GACGAACGCUGGCGGCGUGCUUAACACAUGCAAGUCGAAGGGAGUGGCGAACGGGUGAGUAACACGUGAGUAACCUGCCCUUUUCUUUGGGAUAAGCCUGGGAACCUGGGUCUAAUCCUGGAUGGCUUGGGAUGGGCUGGCGGCUUAUCAGCUUGUUGGUGGGGGGAUGCCCUAACAAGGCGGUGACGGGUAGCCGGCCUGGGAGGGGGACCGGCGACAUGGGGACUGAGAUACGGCCCAGAGUCCGACGGGAGGGAGCAGUGGGGGAUAUUGGACAAAGGGCGAAAGCCUGAUGCAGCGACGUCGCGGGGGGGAUGAAGGCUGUCGGGUUGUAAACCUCUUGCGGGAGCGAACGGGUAGGUGGAGAAGAAGCGCCGGCUAACUACGUGCCAGCAGCCGCGGUAAUUC
rnacentral:rRNA from 1 species